UACGUAGGUGGCAAGCGUUACUCGGAAUCACUAGGCGUAAAGCGCAGGUAGGCGGUUUGGUAAGUCCGUUGUGAAAGCUCCCGGCUUAACUGGGAGAGGUCAAUGGAAACUACCAGGCUAGAGUGUGGUAGAGGAAGCUGGAAUUCCCGGUGUAGCGGUGAAAUGCGUAGAUAUCGGGAGGAAUACCUAUGGCGAAAGCAGGCUUCUGGACCAUCACUGACGCUAAGCUGCGAAAGCUAGGGGAGCAAACAGG
rnacentral:rRNA from 1 species